GCUCGGAGCGAGGACCGAAGGGCUGUCUCCUUUCAAGAGGGGGAACCUGCCAGGCGAGCGGCACCCUCUCCUCGGGAUCCCGGCUCGCUGCGGGCGUCCGUUUGUCCGCGGCUCGCGGGGGCACUGACAAGUGGUUUGCAUGCAGCAUGGGGUGGUGGCCUCAGAGUUGAGACUCCUGAAGUGCAUUGCGUAUCCAGAGUAUUAAUAAUUAAAUACCUGGGAUCGGUCUACCUUGCUGUUUGAAAUGAAGAAAGAAAUUUACAGAAGAUAAAAAGUAGGUGCAGUGAAAAGAUCAGGAUCUCCACCAGAAUUCAGUGGCGUGGUUUGGGGAUUGGUCUGUAGCCUGCAUUUUCUGAAGCAGGGCCUCAACCUUUGACAUCUCCUGACCUCGUGUUGCAACAGAAAAGUUUUGUGACUCCCCUCUGAUCUAGCCAUAUAAAAAAACAGAGGGAGGUAGUGACCCUGAGUUUGGAAACUUAUGACCUGGAACAACUAAAAAUUUUGCCUUAAUAAAGGCUACAGAAUCAAUCGUCCCUUCCUAUGCAGCUAUCCAGAGUUUUUCCAGAGCAAGAACACAGACACCUAAGGUAUGACUUUUAAAUUGUGUCCUGUUCUUUGCUCUGUACAUGAUACACAUCAACACUGCCUGUGUAAAUCCUGGCCUCGUGUCACAAAGAAAGUCUAUGCAAACAUACACCAGUAUGUUCAGAAUGUAUUUUGCAAAGGUAUGACUCAGAAAUCCUUUUUUAUUUGCCUAAAAAUCACAUUUAGCAGGUUAAGAAGGAAAAAAAUUGGACUUUUUUUGAUGGUGUCAAAAUAUUAGGGGAAAAACAUUGCUAUCACCUGGAAGCUGCACCCGUAAGUGGAAGUGGUAGAAAAGUGGUUGUAUUAUAUGAACUUCCAAAUCCACCUCAGACCAUGCAGCUUGAGACUAUAAAGUCUGGUGAAAUUAAUUAAUUUAAGGCAUCAUUUGCCAUAUCACAGUGCACAUCGGUUAAUAAAUACGCAAAUCUCUUGUUGCAACGUUGUAUGCUUUUUGCAGUCAAACAGUGUAGGGAAUUUGGUAAAGGUACAAACAUGGAAAAGAGAAACAAAAGAAUCAGCUUUUUCUGCCUGUUGUCAAAAUGCCCAAAUAAUUUCUAUUUACAAGGUUUCAGGGCAAGGGCAAUGUUUAUCUAGGCGAUGUGUGAAUGGAUAGGCGUUAUUCAGCUUGUGGAUGUUUUCAGGACAUUUCUACAACAUGUACAGAAUAAAUAAAGAUAAUAGGAAUAGAAAUAAAAACACAUCUAUUACUGAGGUAACUUGCUUUGUGAGCUAGCCAAAUAUGGCUACAUGUUAGCAGAAGGUUUCAGAAGGUUAUCACUGUAUUCUGCUUCUUGUUGGAUAUAAGGCUCUUCCAUUAUCAACAUCUUAUUUUUCACACUGGAAUCAUAAUUCUCGAGAGACAAGCUCCCGAGUUUUGAAAUAUUUUUUUUCUUUUCCUGUUUGGAGCACACCUGCUCCUAGCUGAGCUCAAAAAACGUCUUAAAAAUUAUCAUAGAAUCAUUAAGGUUGGAAAAGACCUCUAGAAUCAUCAAGUCUAACUGACGUAUCUGUCCCAUCUGAUUUCCUAAUAUACUGAAUGCUUACAUUGUUGAUACACGUUAAUAACUUUAAACAAAACUAUUCUGAUGUUUUCAGUUAACACUGCUGUAAUAUUUUAAUUUAGCUGUUAAUGGGCGAGACUACAAUUCACCAGUGUAAUGUAAUAUUGAUGCAUUUUUGCUAUUCUAAGUAUCUCAGCUUCAGUCAGACAGUCCAAAUCCUUUUAGUGGAAUCAUGGCCUUUCUAUAUGAACUGAUAUAAAAUAGUAGCUAGACACCAAAUUUUUAAAGUAAUAGCUUUUCUUUUGUUUUGUAGGUCAGGAUAAGAAUUAAAACAAAACAAAAAAGACAAAAUGUGUUCUGCCAAGGCACAUAUAAAUGGUUUUAGGAAAGGGUGAGAAAAAUCAGGAUGAUUCAGGAUUGGCCCACAAGGGUCACUAAAAAUAACGGAAUGCAGUAAUUUUACUGAAGGGAUACUUCUAUUUGUUACAUAUUGUUACAAAUGUCUAUUUGAGUCAACAUAAUCUAGAUUUUUGUUUUGCUGCUGCUGUUUGUAUAAAAGCUUUCUUUUGUAAUAAAAGGCCUGUUUCAAACCACACAAACUGCACACACCUCUGUCAGUAGGUGCCUGGAUGCUGGUGUAAGUCAGCAGUAUCUCCACUGAAAUCACUGGACCUACAUCAACAAAAAAUACAAGUGAGAUCACAGUAAAAUUUCAUACACCUGAGGAAAGAACUGGGUUUAUUUUUUAUGUUAUAACACAAACAAAGAGCAAAUGUAUUACACAGAACACCAUAUGAAAAAAUACAUGAGGAAUUGAGCAUUGCUUUUUUAAACAAUAUUAUUAUAUUUUAUACGUUAUGCUACAAGAAUCCGUUGAAGACUAUGCCUGCUAGGUGCCAUUUAGUGUGGAUUAUUUUAAGAGUAACUUUUCAUUAGGCAUAUCAAUUGGAUAGGUGUAACUAGAAGUUCAAAUGUGCUGCCCAUUUUACUAAGGAGAUGUCUAAAUGUGGCGCAUUCAGUCUAUACUAAACUGGAUUCCUCUUUGCAUUUUUACUCUGAUAGGACUUUCUGUAUUUAUGGAAAACUGCCCACAUGGUUGGCUGGAACAUAUUUUAAAAUUCUUUAAAAUGAUAGAUGUUAUAUGAUUUUAUUAUGUAUCAUUUUCUUCUAUAAACUAAUGUUCACACUGUCACUAAAGUAAAUCCUUAAAAAUGGGAGAUGCAGGUCAGCUGUUAAUGAUGAUUAGUUUUUUUCUUUUUGGGAGCUGAAAGAAGAAAAAUGGUCCUGGAUUGUCUGUGCUUUACACAUAAUGGUUUUAGCUUCCCAAUACUAAUAGUAUUCCUAAGAUAGCUGCUUCAGAAUUCACUUUGGUGAAUGGACAGAACCAUUUUAUACCUCCAAAGUAAACAAGUUAGCGGCUAUUUGAAAAACUACAAUUUUCUUAUGCAGGGGACUAACAGGAAAUUAUGAAAUCCUGAAGCAUUGUUGGAAAAUUGUUCUAACUUAAAUAAUUUUUCUUUAUAGUUUCAUUCUUGAUGUUCCACAGCAUUCACUACUUCCUGCAUGGCUCUUCACCGCAGGGAAAAUGAGGGACUUUUGGGGGCAGAUGUGUUUCCAUUACACUAUCAUAAUGCCCCUAAAAAUCCUUAUUGCUCUUGCAGUAUUCUUCUGUGUUGCUGGGCCUGGUGUGACCUACUUGAAGACCUAGUUUAUAAGUACAGCUUUUCUCUAAGAACACUUUUAAAAAAACCACUGAGUUUUAUUUUGUUUAUCUUAUAUUAUUUUUAGUUGUGUUUACUGUUGCUUAAAAUAUAAAUGGCAAGAUUUGCAACCACCUGUUGGUAAACAAAUGUCAUAAGUCAUAAAUCCAAGGGACAUGCUGAUAACUGCGUGAUAUUAUGAAGAGGGAUAUAUUUUGGCUUAAGAGUGAGAUCUUCACUCUUUUGGUAAGAUUAACUUGUUUUUAUCAGAAGAAUUUAGUGUAUAUGUCUGAAAACAUUAUGCGGAUUUUGCAAGCUAAUUUGAAUGACUGCUACAGUGGACCUCACUUAGAAUAUUAACUGCUUUUAAGGACAUAUGUCAGGUCAUUUAUCAAAUUAAUAGACCUGCCCAGUACUUUAACUGAAAUUAAAUGCAUAAAAAUAUUAAAAUAAAAUUUUCAUACAUUCCCCAAAUAAAUUUACAAUUAAACCUAGAAAAGACAUUGUGGGUUCUCAGCUAUUCUAUGCUUAUUCGACCCAGAAGGUCUUUGGGUGGGCAUACCUCUUGCUGGGUCUUUGAGGCAGGAGGGAUAGCGCAGUCCAUUGGGAAUGCAGUUGUGCUGUAUUGCUCCUCUCUCUACCCCUCUGGGUGAGGGAGAGAGAUCUCCGAGAAGGGAGUGCCCACACUUAGUCUCUCAGGCACAGUUUAUUCCUGCUAGGUGGCAGGUUCCCCUGAAGUCUGCAGAAUUCUGCAGUUCUUGAAGGAAAAGGCAGAACAUAUACAUGUAAACAUGGUUUGUUUUUGUCUGGGUAUUGCAGCGCAAUAUAUCAUCAGUUUAACGUGCAGUGCUGGUAACAUUUAUUUCGGUAGCUGUGUGUAGAACAGUAAUAUAACUGGUUUGUGUUAAAUGUACCCUUGCCUUCACUGGCUAGCUUAAAAGAAAUAAUAGAUAUACAGCGUCAUAUAGCGGUGUCUAAUAUCUUUAAAUAGCCUUCAAAAUAUUUGGUGACAUAGGAAAGAAACUAGCUGGAUAGAUUCUCCCCUCCCCUUUUAUAUUAAAGUUUAAUCCCCAAGAAAAUCCUUGUCUUCAUUCUGCUAAAUGAGUGUUCCUAAUUUUUCAGGCAGGAAAAUCUUACAGGUUAAGUCAUGUCCUAUAGGUCACCAAGCAAGCUUGCUGUUAUGACUGGAACCCAGAGCUUUUGAUGCCCAGAUAAAUACCACAGUAACAAGAAAAUUACUUUCUAGUAGGACAGAAUGAGCCAUGUUGCACAAUAUUAUAUUCACAGGUCAAAACGUGCUGGCAUAUGCAUUUCAACAUAAAACAUUUCCACAUGCAACAGCAUUUCAAAUGUAUGUACAGACAGAAAGCAGUAUAAAAACUAGUCAUUAUACUAAUUCUAAAUUUUCAUAUCAAUACUUCAGUGAUUCUAUUUGGACCACUGAUGGCAAGAUGAUUCCUAGCACCUUCUGACAUAAAUGAAAGGUGUUGUAACACAGACUGGCUCGAGGCUUAUGCAGCCUUUAAAUUAUAAAGUUACUUGCAAGGUACUAGAUUAAUUAAAUUACUAAUUUUAUUAGUAAAGUUCUUUGCCGUCUGUGUGCGUGUUUAGCAAACUUUUUACUUCCAAGUAACACUCCUAGCUAAAGACUCUGCAGCUAAUUGAAAAUGUUUAAAAAAAAAAAAAAAAGUAUGAGACUACAAAUAUUCUAUGAAGUUCUGUAAUAUUAAGGAUCAGUGAAGAAAGCACUCCCAGAGCUAUAAAUUGUAUCACCUUUAUAUAGAAGACACUGCCAAUAUGAACAGACUUGAAUUUUAAUUCCUUUUUAAAAGUCUUUUGGGAGCUAUGCUAGUCACAAUACUAUGUAAAGAAUACUGUGAUAGAUUUGAGCAUUAAAACUGAUCUGAUUUUGUAUUUGUCCUAUGUUACAAUCUUACCUUACAUUUAAUCUUUCACGAAUAUCAGAAUAUUUCUUUUCCUAACAUAUGAAAUUUUACGAAAGAUUGCUUGCAUGUAUAAUUUGUAGAUUUCAACAGCUAAUUCUUACAUACAUACCUACUUAUACACAUGCAGGACCUAGUAAAAGUCAGAUUCCCUGUGAACAUAUGCUCUGUAAAUGUUUAAAAAUAUAUUUAUAAUAUGACACUGCUAUUGACACAAAUACUUGCUUAGACCUAGCAAUCCUGAGAUUAAAUUCAAGGAAGGGAAACAAAAUCAGUAACACUAUAUUCCAGCCCUUUUUAUAUGUAAUAGGAGUCACCUGACAUACUACUGUCAUUUUUUUUUACACAUUUUUAUCACUGAAUAAUAAGCAUUAGAAAAUAAGAGCCAAGCACAUGGUUUGAGAUGUGUACUUAAACCUUCAAAUUCUUGCAUCAAAUUGGUUUUUAAGUAUUUACAUUAUUUUGGUUUCAAAUAGUAUGUCACAAAAACCUCUGGAUCUGAUACAGCCCCAGAGGAAGGACUGCAAAACUCAUCUGUAAAACUCUGCUGAAGCUAACAGCACUUUGUCUGCGAAUGGGCUGUCAGUAUGUUUCAAUAUUAAAUAUUUUGUAAAAGAUAA